AUUGAACGCUGGCGGCAGGCCUAACACAUGCAAGUCGAACGAGUGGCGGACGGGUGAGUAAUGUCUGGGAAACUGCCUGAUGGAGGGGGAUAACUACUGGAAACGGUAGCUAAUACCGCAUACCAUCGGAUGUGCCCAGAUGGGAUUAGCUAGUCGGUGGGGUAAAGGCUCCACUAGGCGACGAUCCCUAGCUGGUCUGAGAGGAUGGCCAGCCAAACUGGAAUUGAGACAAGGUCCAGACUCCUACGGGAGGCAGCAGUUGGGAAUAUUGCACAAUGGGCGCAAUCCUGAUCGAGCCAUGCCGAGUGUAUGAAGAAGGCCUUCGGGUUGUAAAGUACUUUCAGCGGGGAGGCGUUACCCGCAGAAGAAGCACCGGCUAACUCCGUGCCAGCAGCCGCGGUAAUAC
rnacentral:rRNA from 1 species